UUCCUUUACUAUAAAGAGAACAAAUUGAGAGCCUCCACCUAUUAGUGCAUGGGCAAUGGCUAAACAGCAUAAAUGGUCUACUAAACUUUUCCCUUGCACUUAUUUGGGGAGAGGGGAGAAGAGGAGCCCCUCUCUGAUCUAAUACAUAAAUGGCAAAACACCCCCCACUUCAGGCACAGUUCCUACUUUACGUGUCAGCAGGCAUGAGAGCUGGUGUUGAACACAUUGUCCUGAAAAAAAACCAAACAAACCAACCUUUGCAUGUAUUGAACCUUUCUUUCCUUUUUUCAGUUCUGGGAGGUGAUAAGUGAUGAACAUGGAAUUGACAUCGCUGGAAACUACCAUGGGAAUGCGUCACUGCAGCUUGAGCGAAUUAACGUGUACUUCAAUGAGGCUUACUCCCAUAAAUACGUGCCCCGUUCUAUCUUGGUGGACCUGGAACCUGGUACGAUGGACAGUGUACGGUCUAGCAAAAUAGGCCCACUCUUUCGACCUGACAAUUUUAUUCAUGGUAAUUCAGGUGCUGGAAACAACUGGGCUAAGGGCCAUUACACAGAAGGUGCUGAACUGAUUGAAAACGUCAUGGAUGUGGUC